AGGACAAUGGCUCCAGUAGGGAUGGUUAACAUGCUGGGUUGGUGUUCAUCCACAGAGGUCGGCAUCAUCUCCCUCGUAGCCUUCUUCAUUCUAAGCAUCACGCUCCUCGCGCUUUGCGCCAAGUGUCACAGGAGCAGCAGCAACGCCUAUGAUGUGAGCGGAACAACAACGACUAAAGGAGCAGGAGGAGCCAAUGGGACUACUGGUACGAAGACAGGAGGAACCAAUGGUGAGUUCUCUGUGAAAGUUCGAUCUAAUGUUUGUUUUUAACUUCACUAAUUGAUAUUUUAAAUUUCCAGAAUCAGAGGUUGCAAGCUACUCAUCAUGGAGAAACCACAAUGACAUGCCUCCCAGCACACUACAGAGGUCCUAAAGCACUGUCCCCACAGUCAGCAGAUGCUCCCGGUCUAAAGGCAAAGAAGCAGGAAGGGAGGACAUGUAACGCUCAACAACAGAAACACACAGACUUCCACACUUGACACUAUCCCAAAUGGACAGAUGGAUGGAAAAAGAGAGUAAGGGUAGGAGGGAGAGUCGGCCUUGUCCUCAGCCAGCUUGAGCUACCAUCCCCACCUUGUCUCAUCACAGCAGGCCUCUAAUUUAUCAAACAAGCAACAAAACUGUCUACAUUUAUUAUUCUAUCAUAACUCCACUGGUUGAUUUAACUGUAAGUAAUCUACAGACUCAUUCCAACUUUAAAAUCUGCUGCUUCAGCAUUUCGACUCAUCUCUGACUGCUGCUUCUCAUGGUGAUGGUUAAAAGUUAGGACAAGCCUCUCAGUUCAGUCUCCACAUUCAUUUAGACCCAUCAGGAAAUCACUGCUUUACAGUUUGCCUGUUAAUUUUGAAACGUAUGCUUUCUUGUUGAGCAUUAGACAAAGAGAUCAAUACCACUCUUUUCCGUCAAUGAAAUGCUGUUUUUCUUGGCCAGUGAGCCAGAAAACAUUUACAGUGGUGUAAUUAUUUAUUAGGCCUGUUCAGUAACUUCCUGCUGUGACAGGUUUACAAUCAUAUUUAUAAGACUGCACCGGACACUUUUACUUGUAAAGCAAUGUUUAAAGGGUUAAUUUUUUUUAACCUUGGCAAAGAGCUGGACGUAUCAAUUCUCUUUCCAGUCAUUAGCCAUGCUAAGCUAACCAGCUGCUGAUUGUGGCUUAAUAAACAGAUAAGACUGGUGUUGAUAUCCGCA
rnacentral:lncRNA from 1 species